UACGAACUGUGCGAACGUUAUUCGGAAUCACUGGGCUUACAGGGUGCGUAGGCGGCUUAGCAAGUCCGGUGUGAAAGCCCCCGGCUCAACCGGGGAACUGCGCUUGAAACUGCUGAGCUCGAGUCAGCUAGAGGUACACGGAACUUCCAGUGGAGCGGUGAAAUGUGUUGAUAUUGGAAGGAACACCGGAGGCGAAAGCGGUGUACUGGGGCUGGUCUGACGCUGAGGCACGAAAGCCAGGGGAGCGAACGGG
rnacentral:rRNA from 1 species